rnacentral:rRNA from 1 species
GGAAUUUUGGACAAUGGACGCAAGUCUGAUCCAGCCAUGCCGCGUGCGGGAAGAAGGCCUUCGGGUUGUAAACCGCUUUUGUCAGGGAAGAAAUCUUCUGAGUUAAUACCUCGGGAGGAUGACGGUACCUGAAGAAUAAGCACCGGCUAACUACGUGCCAGCAGCCGCGGUAAUACGUAGGGUGCAAGCGUUAAUCGGAAUUACUGGGCGUAAAGCGUGCGCAGGCGGUUAUGCAAGACAGGUGUGAAAUCCCCGAGCUCAACUUGGGAACUGCACUUGUGACUGCAUAGCUAGAGUACGGUAGAGGGGAGUGGAAUUCCGCGUGUAGCAGUGAAAUGCGUAGAUAUGCGGAGGAACACCGAUGGCGAAGGCAGCUCCCUGGACCUGUACUGACGCUCAUGCACGAAAGCGUGGGGAGCAAAC